GACGUAGGGGGCCAGCGUUGUUCGGAAUUACUGGGUGUAAAGGGUUCGUAGGCGGUGUGGCAAGUCGGGAGUGAAAUCUCUGGGCUCAACUCAGAGACUGCUUCCGAAACUGCUGUGCUGGAGUGUGGGAGAGGCGCGUGGAAUUGCAGGUGUAGCGGUGAAAUGCGUAGAUAGUCUGCAGGAACACCCGUGGCUAAGGCGGCUCUCUAGUACGGUACUGACGCUGAGACGCGAAAGCGUGGGGAGCGAACAGG
rnacentral:rRNA from 1 species